AAAGCCAUCUCUAUCUUUCCACCCCAGUGGUGGAACAUUCUAUUUCCAAAAGAGAUAAUAACAGUGAGGUUUCUAUUACCAAAAGAAGGCUGAACUAUGAAUUUGAGAAUAACAGGUCAGCUGAAAAUUGAACGCCAUAAUAAAUAUAUUUAACAACAAUCAUAAUAACAAAAAUUUUCCAAAUUCAUUACCUUGAAAAUGUGGAAAACACCUUGGAUGAAUAUUUUUUGGAUCUCCACAAUAAACCUCGUGAAUUGUUGAGAGAGAUUCAAGACUCAAAGAAGAAAACUGAGCAAAGCAACAAUAGAUAAGAUGAUAUUUACUGACAAUGGACUGGCUAUUGGGGUAGUCCAGAUAUGGAAGGUUAGCAUUCACUUUGGGGAUAUGGCUAUGGAAAUGGAGAAGCAGCAGAUUCAAGAAGCAACAACAAGAAAAACCCAUUUAUGUCUCCAUCUACUGCUAUUAAAUCUGGGCCAAAUUUGGAGCAUUGGGCCCACAAGCUGUAUAGUUCAGUACUCUGAGCACAGUGGGGAUUCAAUAAAAGUUGAUGAUGUUGGGAAGUAAUAAAA